AUUGAACGCUGGCGGCAGGCCUAACACAUGCAAGUCGAGCGGAGCGGCGGACGGGCGAGUAAUGCCUAGGAAUCUGCUUGGCAGCGGGGGAUAACGUCCGGAAACGGGCGCUAAUACUGCAUACUAUCAGAUGAGACUAGGUCGGAUUUGCUAGUUGGUGGGGUAAAGGCCUACCAAGGCGACGAUCCGUAACUGGUCUGUGAGGAUGAUCAGUCACACUGGAACUGAGGCACGGUCCAGACUCCUACGGGGAGCAGCGGUGGGGAAUAUUGCACAAUGGGCGAAAGCCUGAUCCAGCCAUACCGCGUGUGUCAAGAAGGACUUCGGAUUGUAAAGCACUUUAAGUUGGGAGACGUUACCAACAGAAUAAACACCGGCUAACUUCGUGCCAGCAGCCGCGGUAAUUC
rnacentral:rRNA from 1 species